UACAGAGGUGGCAAGCGUUGUUCGGAAUUACUGGGCGUAAAGGGCGCGUAGGCGGUUCGUUAAGUCCUGUGUGAAAAUCCCCCGGCUCAACUGGGGAACUGCACAGGAAACUAGCGGGCUUGAGUUCGGGAGAGGGAAGCGGAAUUCCGGGUGUAGCGGUGAAAUGCGUAGAGUAUCCGGAGGAACACCGGUGGCGAAGGCGGCUUCCUGGACCGACACUGACGCUGAGGCGCGAAAGCUAGGGGAGCAAACGGG
rnacentral:rRNA from 1 species